rnacentral:rRNA from 1 species
GAUGAACGCUGGCGGCGUGCCUAAUACAUGCAAGUCGAGCGAACAGAUGAGGAGCUUGCUCCUCUGACGUUAGCGGCGGACGGGUGAGUAACACGUGGAUAACCUACCUAUAAGACUGGGAUAACUUCGGGAAACCGGAGCUAAUACCGGAUAAUAUAUUGAACCGCAUGGUUCAAUAGUGAAAGACGGUUUUGCUGUCACUUAUAGAUGGAUCCGCGCCGCAUUAGCUAGUUGGUAAGGUAACGGCUUACCAAGGCAACGAUGCGUAGCCGACCUGAGGGUGAUCGGCCACACUGGAACUGAGACACGGUCCAGACUCCUACGGGAGGCAGCAGUAGGGAAUCUUCCGCAGAGGGCGAAAGCCUGACGGAGCAACGCCGCGUGAGUGAUGAAGGUCUUCGGAUCGUAAAACUCUGUUAUUAGGGAAGAACAAAUGUGUAAGUAACUAUGCACGUCUUGACGGUACCUAAUCAGAAAGCCACGGCUAACUACGUG